AACUUUCAACAAUGGAUCUCUUGGUUCCGGCAUCGAUGAAGAACGCAGCGAAAUGCGAUAACUAAUGUGAAUUGCAGAAUUCAGUGAAUCAUCGAGUCUUUGAACGCACAUUGCGCCCCCUGGUAUUCCGGGGGGCAUGCCUGUCCGAGCGUCAUUGCU
rnacentral:rRNA from 1 species